UGAGUAACCUGCCCUUGACUCUGGGAUAAGCCUGGGAAACCGGGUCUAAUACCGGAUAUGACUGCCGGCCGCAUGGCCUGGUGGUGGAAAGCUUUAUUGCGGUUUUGGAUGGACUCGCGGCCUAUCAGCUUGUUGGCGGGGUAAUGGCCCACAAGGCGACGACGGGUAGCCGGCCUGAGAGGGUGACCGGGCCACACUGGGACUGAGACACGGCCCAGACCUCCGUACGGGAGGCAG
rnacentral:rRNA from 1 species